rnacentral:rRNA from 1 species
UAAAACGCGAAAGGGCGAUAGGCGGAUGCCUAGAUACCAAGAGGCGAAGAAAGACGUGGCACACUGCGAAAAGCGGCGGGGAGAUGUGAGCAAUCAGUGAUCCGUCGAUGUCUGAAUGGGGAAACCCACCACCAUGAGUGGUAUUUGCACCUGAAUACAUAGGGUGUAGAAGCGAACCUAGGGAAUUGAAACAUCUUAGUACCUAGAGGAAAGGAAAUCGAAAGAGACUCCGUGAGUAGUGGUGAGCGAAAGCGGAAGAGGCCAUUAGUGUUUAAUGAGGCGAGUCGAACAACUUGGGAAAGUUGGCGCGAGAGGUGAAAGCCCUGUAGACGAAGUCGAGUUAGAUGCUAGAGAGUAGGGCGGAGCACGAGAAAUUCCGUUUGAAUAAGGGGGGACCACCCUCCAAGCCUAAGUACUCCUUGGUGAUCGAUAGAGGAAGUACCGUGAGGGAAAGGUGAAAAGAACCCCGAUAAGGGGAGUGAAAUAGAAUCUGAAACCUAUUGCUUACAAUCAGUCAGAGCACUUUGAGAUAGAGGUGUGAUGGCGUACCUUUUGCAUAAUGGGUCAGCGAGUUUAUGUACGUAGCGAGGUUAAGCCGUUAGGUGUAGCCGGAGCGAAAGCGAGUCUUAAUAGGGCGAGAGUUACGUGUAUAAGACCCGAAGCCGUAGUGAUCUAGCCAUGAGCAGGUUGAAGUUGUGCUAAUCCGCAAUGGAGGACCGAACCCAAGCAUGUUGCAAAAUGCUGGGAUGACUUGUGGUUAGGGGUGAAAGGCCAAUCAAACACGGCGAUAGCUGGUUCUCCGCGAAAUCUAUUUAGGUAGAGCGUUGUCUAGAGCCUAACGGGGGUAGAGCACUGAAUAGGUGAGGGGGAAGCGAUUCCUACCGAUCUUUAUCAAACUCCGAAUACCGUUAGAGUAGAGACAGCAGACAGACUAUGGGUGCUAAGUCCGUAGUCGAGAGGGAAACAACCCAGACUGUCAUCUAAGGUCCCUAAGGAUUCGUUAAGUGUGGAAGAAUGUGUGAUAACCAAUACAGCUAGGAGGUUGGCUUAGAAGCAGCCAUCCUUUAAAGAAAGCGUAAUAGCUCACUAGUCUAUAUAUUAAGUUGUCAUGCGUCGAAAAUGUACCGGGGCUUAAACGAAUCACCGAAGAUACAGACACUGCUUUAAAGUGGUGUGGUAGCGGAGCGUUCUGGAGGUUGAAGAAGGUGUACCGAGAGGUAUGCUGGAGAUAACAGAAGUGAGAAUGCUGACAUGAGUAACGAAAAGGCGUGUGAGAAACGCGCCGGCCGAAAGUCCAAGGUUUCCUGCGCACGGGUAAUCCGCGCAGGGUUAGUCGACCCCUAAGGCGAGGGCGAGAGCCGUAGUCGAUGGGAAGCAGGUUAAUAUUCCUGCACCAGUUUGGAAGUGACGGAGUUGAAGGUGUGUUGUGCGUUAAUGGAUUCGUGCAGCUGCUGGAAAUUUCCAGGAAAUAGCCCAAACAGAGAUCGUACCGCAAACCGACACAGGUGGACAGGUAGAGAAUACUAAGGCGUUGAGAGAAUUGUGUUGAAGGAACUCGGCAAAAUGACUCCGUAACUUCGGGAGAAGGAGUGCCAUGUUCUUGGCAACAGGAGUGUGGUGGCACAGAAGAGGGGGUAGCGACUGUUUAUCAAAAACAUAGGGCACUGCGAAAUUGAGAGAUGACGUAUAGUGUCUGACGCCUGCCCGGUGCCGGAAGGUUAAGGAGAGAUGUGAGAGCGUUGAUCUGAAGCCCCGGUAAACGGCGGCCGUAAAUAUAACGGUCCUAAGGUAGCGAAAUUCCUUGUCGGGUAAGUUCCGACCUGCAUGAAUGGCGUAACGACUUCCCCGCUGUCUCCAACACAAGCUCAGUGAAAUUGAAAUCCCCGUGAAGAUGCGGGGUACCCGCGGUUAGACGGAAAGACCCUGUGCACCUUUACUACAGCUUUGCAUUGGUGUUAGGUGAUACAUGUGUAGGAUAGAUGGGAGUCUAGGAAGGCUGCGCGCUAGCGUGGUUGGAGACAACGUUGAAAUACCAUUCUUGUAUCAUCUGGCAUCUAACUGGACGCCAUGAAGCUGGCGACAGGACAAUGCAUGGUGGGUAGUUUGACUGGGGCGGUCGCCUCCGAAAGAGUAACGGAGGCGUGCGAAGGUAAGCUCAAGCUGGAUGGAAAUCAGCUGCAGAGUGCAAUGGCAUAAGCUUGCCUAACUGAAAGACGUACAUGUCGACCAGAGACGAAAGUCGGUCAUAGUGAUCCGGUGGUUCCGAGUGGAAGGGCCAUCGCUCAACGGAUAAAAGGUACGCCAGGGAUAACAGGCUGAUCUCCCCCAAGAGUCCAUAUCGACGGGGAGGUUUGGCACCUCGAUGUCGGCUCAUCACAUCCCGGGGCUGGAGCAGGUCCCAAGGGUAUGGCUGUUCGCCAUUUAAAGUGGUACGCGAGCUGGGUUCAGAACGUCGUGAGACAGUUCGGUCCCUAUCUGCCGUGGGUGUGUGGAAAAUUGACAGGAUCUGUCCCUAGUACGAGAGGACCGGGAUGGACAUACCACUGGUGUACCAGUUGUUCUGCCAAGAGCAGCGCUGGGUAGCUAAGUAUGGAAGGGAUAACCGCUGAAAGCAUCUAAGCGGGAAACCCACCUGGAAACGAGUUUUCCCUAGGAGAGACGUUGAAGACUACGACGUAAAUAGGCUGGGUGUGGAAGCGCAGUAAUGUGUGAAGCUAACCAGUACUAAUAACUCCAAUGGUUUUAAGAA